UCGGAAAGCGCUGGCAUUCGCUCCUGUUACCACAGUCACAUGAACAUUUCCCAUGUGGCCUCGUUCGCCAGUUUCAAUUCCAACAGGACAGACGCGGACACGUUCUUUUUCAUAUAAGAGAGCGGGGGUCCGCACUGGAAAUGGGAUAUACUCUCUGUAACCGUGACGACUCGGAUGCAAAAAGGUGUGAGACAACUGGGUGGGAACCGAAAUCGAGUCGCGUGGGUCCGGAAGCGAAAACUGUGUGAAAUGAGUGUUUUUGUGUUAAAAUUUUAAAUCUCGCCGCAUGUGACGCGAUCGCAAAAUUGCAACAACGAUUGCCGACGACGACAACUCACUUGGUGUGCUUUAUGUGAAAUUUAAACACAACGAUCGAACAGGAACGCAGCCCCGGAAGUCACGUUGAGGCUUGGUUAUCAUCGGAUUCGUCCGAAAGAUCGUUCCAUGACUGAAUUUUUCCUGAUCCGAACAGGAUGUAGAUGACAUUCGUGACAUUGAGGACCCAGAAAGCGACCCAAAAUACGGUACGCCAUUCACUGAGCGUUUGCUGGAAAAAUAUACGGAAAGGCAUUUAAAAUAAUAUAGGAUUAGAUUUGUAAUUAUGUUAGAUAUAUUAACUUAGAUAUGUAAAACACUGAAACCACAAUUAACGUAAUGAAUUGGGGUACUAAAUAGAA